rnacentral:misc_RNA from 1 species
GAUGAAGAACGUAGCGAAAUGCGAUAAGUAGUGUGAAUUGCAGAAUUCAGUGAAUCAUCUAAUCUUUGAACGCACAUUGCGCCCCAUGGUAUUCCGUGGGGCAUGCCUGUUCGAGCGUCAUUUACCCCCUCAAGCUCCGCUUGGUGUUGGGCGUCUGUCCCGCUUCGCGCGCGGACUCGCCCCAAAGGUAUUGGCAGCGGUCGUGCCAGCUUCUCGCGCAGCACAUUGCGCUUCUCGAGGCACCGGUGGGCCCGCGUCCAUCAAGCUCACCCCCCCAGUUUGACCUCGGAUCAGGUAGGGAUACCCGCUGAACUUAAGCAUAUCAAUAAGCGGAGGA